rnacentral:rRNA from 1 species
UACGUAGGGGGCAAGCGUUGUCCGGAAUCAUUGGGCGUAAAGCGCGUGUAGGCGGCUCGAUAAGUCUGCUGUGAAAGUUCAGGGCUCAACCCUGAAAUGCCGGUGGAAACUGUCGAGCUAGAGUCCGGAAGAGGUGAGUGGAAUUCCUGGUGUAGCGGUGAAAUGCGCAGAUAUCGGGAAGAACACCCGUGGCGAAGGCGGCACUCUGGGACGGUACUGACGCUGAGACGCGAAAGCGUGGGGAGCGAACAGG